rnacentral:rRNA from 1 species
UACGUAGGGUGCGAGCGUUAAUCGGAAUUACUGGGCGUAAAGCGUGCGCAGGCGGCUUUGCAAGACAGAUGUGAAAUCCCCGGGCUCAACCUGGGAACUGCAUUUGUGACUGCAAGGCUAGAGUACGGCAGAGGGGGAUGGAAUUCCGCGUGUAGCAGUGAAAUGCGUAGAUAUGCGGAGGAACACCAAUGGCGAAGGCAAUCCCCUGGGCCUGUACUGACGCUCAUGCAUGAAAGCGUGGGGAGCAAACAGG